rnacentral:rRNA from 1 species
GAUGAACGCUGGCGGCGUGCCUAAUACAUGCAAGUCGAGCGAACAGAUGAGGAGCUUGCUCCUCUGACGUUAGCGGCGGACGGGUGAGUAACACGUGGAUAACCUACCUAUAAGACUGGGAUAACUUCGGGAAACCGGAGCUAAUACCGGAUAAUAUAUUGAACCGCAUGGUUCAAUAGUGAAAGACGGUUUUGCUGUCACUUAUAGAUGGAUCCGCGCCGCAUUAGCUAGUUGGUAAGGUAACGGCUUACCAAGGCAACGAUGCGUAGCCGACCUGAGAGGGUGAUCGGCCACACUGGAACUGAGACACGGUCCAGACUCCUACGGGAGGCAGCAGUAGGGAAUCUUCCGCAAUGGGCGAAAGCCUGACGGAGCAACGCCGCGUGAGUGAUGAAGGUCUUCGGAUCGUAAAACUCUGUUAUUAGGGAAGAACAAAUGUGUAAGUAACUAUGCACGUCUUGACGGUACCUAAUCAGAAAGCCACGGCUAACUUCGUG